rnacentral:misc_RNA from 1 species
CAGAGUUCAUGCCCUCGCGGGUAGACCUCCCACCCUUGAAUACCCCUAUCUUCGUUGCUUUGGCGGGCCGCUUCGGCUACCGGCUCUGGCUGGUAAGUGCCCGCCAAAGGACCCAACUCUGAAUGUUAGUGUCGUCUGAGUACUAUAGAAUAGUUA